UACGUAGGGUGCGAGCGUUGUCCGGAAUUACUGGGCGUAAAGGGCUCGUAGGCGGCCAACUAAGUCAGACGUGAAAUCCCUCGGCUUAACCGGGGAACUGCGUCUGAUACUGGAUGGCUUGAGUUCGGGAGAGGGAUGCGGAAUUCCAGGUGUAGCGGUGAAAUGCGUAGAUAUCUGGAGGAACACCGGUGGCGAAGGCGGCAUCCUGGACCGACACUGACGCUGAGGAGCGAAAGCCAGGGGAGCAAAGCGGG
rnacentral:rRNA from 1 species